UGAGGGGAUGGGGACACCAGGGGAGGGGGACAUUGAGGGAACAGGGACACUACAGGGAUGUCACCAAGGGGGACAGCAUGGGGAUGGGGACACCGAGGGGGAUGUCACCAAGGGGAUGGGGACACUGAGGGGAUGGGGACACCCAGGGGACACCCAUAGGGGACACCCAUAGGUGACACCCAUAGGGAACACUGGGGACACCCAUAGGGCACAGGGGGGGACACCCAUAGGGGACACCCAUAGGUGACAAUGGGGACACCAACAGGGAGCACCCAUAGGUGACACCCAUAGAGGACAGUGGGGACACCCAUAGGGGACACUGGGGACACCCAUAGGGGACAGUGGGGACACCCAUAGGGGACAGGGGGGGACGCCCAGGGGACACCCAUAGGUGACACCCAUAGGUGACAAUGGGGACACCAACAGGGAGCACCCAUAAGUGACGCCCAUAGGGGACAGGGGGGACACCCAUAGGGGACACCCAUAGGAGACACUGGGGACACCCAUAGGUGGCAUCCAGAGGUGACACCCAUAGGGGACGGGGGGGGACACCCAGGGGACACCCAUAGGUGACAUGGGGACACCCGUAGGGGACACUGGGGACACCCAUGGGUGCCACCCUUGGGUGCCGCGGUGGCACUCACUGCUCGGAGGCCAGGAUCAUCUUGGCCAGCAUGGGCUCCACCGGCAGCUCCGCCAUGCGCCGCCCCA
rnacentral:lncRNA from 1 species